rnacentral:tRNA from 1 species
GCCGGGGUGGCGUAGUUGGUGGCGCGUCGGACUCAUAGGGCAGCCAGAAAUGGCAUAUGUUCGCGCUGAAGUCAAUCUCCGUGGUGUCUGAGACAUCCGAAGGUCGUGGGUUCAAGCCCCACUCCCGGCA